UCUCCUCCUUCUCCUCCUUCUCCUCCUUCUCCUCCUUCUCCUCGUUCUCCUCCUCAUCUUCGCUAUCGAAACACCGAAUCAACUGCGGUGGAAGAGACCUCUGAGAUCAUCGAGCCCAGCCUGCCACCCAUCACCACCUUGCCCACUAGACCGUGGCACCGAUUGCCCCAUCCAGUCUUUCCUUAAAUACCUCCAGGGGCAGUGACUCCGCCAGUUCCCUGGACAGCCCAUUCCUAAUCACGCUUUCCAUUAAGAAAUUCUUCCUAAUGCCCAACGUAAACUUCCCGUGGUGCUGCUUAAGAUUGUUCGGAGGCAGAAUCGUGGCGCUGGCCCCGGCGGUCAGGCCGGUUCAGCCGCGGCGGCUCAGGGAGGUUCUGCAGGGCCUGAGGCAAAGCAGUCGUGUCUUAUCCCGUCUCCACAGUCUCCACAUCUCCCUGUGUGUGUAUGCAGGGCUGGGAGUUCAGCAGGACCAGGAGAUUUGUCCGCAGGUACUUUGCAAGUCCGCAGUUCUGCGGUUUCCAUCCUGGAAAUGCUGUGAGAAAUGCGAUCUCUGGUCUCCUCUGCUUUCUGUUGCUUCUGCCUGUGCUACAGAUGCUGCUCCUGUGUAUUUGUGUCUUGCCUUAAAAUCAGGAGGUUAAAGAAAUGAUAAACUGUUGUUUGGUGCCGGUUUUGUGACCCAAGCAACUGGUUAGCUUAAAUCCUAACCAAAAUAGAAAAUCUGAUGUGGAAUUCAAAUAAUAAAAAGUUGAAACAAAGGAAUAUAGUGCACAUCUACAGUUUUAGUUAAAAUAGCUAUCAAUACUGUUUUGAGGAGGUACUUUGUUUGGUGCUGUGAUAUUCUCAUUAUAAAGUGCCAACAAACCAUACAUAUAGAAUUUGCUUCUAUAUCUUGAGAAGAAAUCUGUAUGACAACUUUGUUGAAAGAGAUGGUGUCUAAAGAGGUCCUAGUAGCAGGUUCCAUGUCCUGCUACAUUUUUAGCAAUGAUCUGGAAGCUGAUCCAAACCUGCUGCUGCAAAAAUUCAGCUUCAGAAUUAAUGGAAUUGUAAAUAAUGAUCAGGAUGGGGCACUGAUCAAUACAAUGCAAGUUUGUACAAGCAGCUUGCUUAAACCUAGUGAAUUUUCAUUCAUCAAACCAAAUAGCUGUCUGUCUUAAAACCCAAGUGUGGAGAUCAUUACUGGAAAAUAGAAGACUGUGAAGGUAAUGACUUUGAGAAGGAUUUAAGAGCCAGAUAAGUAAGCAAUCAGAUAAGGGUUCUCCUGUAUGCUGCUAUGGCAGAAAAGGAUUAAUCAAUGUAUAAACAAAGGAAUUAAAAAGUGUUUAUUUUACCUCUCAUGUUUGACGUCAAUAAUAUCAUCAGAGGGUAGUGCAUACAGUGCUGGUUUUCAGAUUUUAAGAAGCACAUUGGAAAAUAAGAGAGCAAAAAAAUGAAGCAAAAUGUUCUGGUGGUUGGAGAAAAUGCCUUACGCUGGGAUGUUUUAAGAGCUCAGGCUGUUAAAGUUAUCUGGAAGAGAAUUGGGAGGUGACUUGAUUGUAGUGUAUAGGAACAUUCCUGAGGGGAAGUACAGGAUAUUAAAGGGCUCUUUAAUCUAUUGAAGAAAAGCAUAAUAAGAAGUAAUGGCCAGAGGCAAAAGCCAGACAAAUUCAAAUAGGAAAUCAGACACACAUUUUUUCCAUGGUUAACCACCAGAACACAUUCCCAAAAGAAGCUGAGGAUUUGCCAUCAUUCAUGUCUUCUGUUGAAGAUCAGAUGUAUUUCUGAAAAUUAAUUUUUAGCCAAGCAGAAGUUAUGCUUUAUUUUAUUUGAUGAAUGCAGGUUGAAAUCUGAUGGCCCAUGACAAGCACAGCAUCAAGUUGAUCUACUGGGACCACUGUGUUUCAAAUUCUAAGUGCCAGAAGCAGACAUUUCAUUUAUUACCAUGAGCAUUAGAAUAAAUUAUUUUUUUGCCUUGAAAUACCUAUGCACCAUAAAAAAGCAGAUCUGAAUUAAGCCUUUGGCUGCAGAAUAUAUUUGCUAAAAAAAUAUCUAAAGGUUUUGGCCUUUUCCCUCCUAAAUUUACACUCUUGGUAUUACUUGGGAAAAUUUCUUUGCAUUUUAAUUUAAAUCUCUGAAGGAGUAGAUCCUUACAAGAAAAUGAAUUUAGUGCAUUCUGGUUCUCUUGGCCUUGAGGCAAUUUUACGUAUUUGAUGUUCACAUUGUGAAAUAUUUCUUGUGGGAUUAUUAUGCAGAGUGCUCAGGUAACUGCACCAAAUGAAUCCUGAUAGAUUUCCUAUAUUGUGCAUUAUGUAUAUUUGUAUGUGGCAUAUGUUUUCAUCAUACAGCCUUAACCUCACUUGAGGCAUCAUAAUAUGAACAAUUAUAUUGCCAACAGAGGAGCUGCUGUUACUGAAAGAAGGAUGAAUGAAAUAAAAAUAAGAUUUCAGAUCAGUAGCUUGGCAGAGAAACAUGAAAAAAUCCACCCCCGAAAUGGUGCAUGAUGAAUUUUUCUGUCUUGAGACUGGAAGGUGUGCUGUCAUUUCUCUGCCUUCUGAGAAAUGCUAAUCCUGCAAGAUACAUGUGCUUCCUAAUUUACAUGCUUCCCUGGCUCUUAGGCAGAAAAUGCAAAGACAGGAGCUGAAAAACAAGCUGCUGCCUCGUUUGUGCAUUUUCCCAGAGUCAAGCCACAAAAAAUCUUAAACACAGAACAAACUAAAAUCUGUUAAUUAACCACAAUUCUGGAAUGAGAUCUGAAUAACUGUACAGUGAGGGAAAAUCAGCGAUUACAAAGCAAGACUUGUCUUUAUGGUAUGUGCUUGGUAACUUAAAAAAGCAGAAAGUGUUUGUGUGUGUGGCUGAAACUUCUUUACUUUGACUUCGAACUGUUAGUGUGAAAUUUUUAUUUUAAAUUACCUCUGUGCAUUUUCAGGCAAGUAAUGAUUGCAGUAGCCACUCCAGGAAUGGGGUGAGGUGUGCCCUAACACUGAACUUGGACAGAAAUUGUGUUUCUUUGUAGUAUCUGCAGAAGAUGGCCCUAAGGCUGUUCUGGAUCCAUUUCAGCUCAGCACACGAGGGCUGCCUGAGCUGACACCCAUGCCAUGCAUUUCCAAGGCUGCACUGGCAGAGCAGUGCACUCGCAGCGUGUUCUGCAGGCUGGCAGGAUUUGACAAGACAACUGUGGAGAUCGAUGGCAAAUGAGGUGCAGAACACAUCCCACUUACAGCUGCUGCUGUCACAGCCCUGCCCCAGAGGAAGGAGCAGCACCAGGAGUUCCUCUUUGAAGCAGAACAUCUUGCUUGGCACCCACUUAGAUGAGCACUGGGAUUUAACCCACCAGUUCUGCCUUGUAAAGCUUUUAACAAUUGCAGACCAGUUUAUCCCAGCCAGCAGAAGCCAGUUGUUUUUAUGUCCUAAUAAAACUGCGGGAGCAACUGUCAGGAUGUUCUCCAGGAUUGGGGGAUUGUUUUCUGUCAUCACCAGAAAUAGCUUUUAUCCAGUCAUCUUCUUGUGCCAAAGGCAUGUAGGGCAGAAUUUUGUCAGGAGAAUUAAGAUUAUUUCCCAGCAAGUGGAAGAAUGGAAAGGAGUAUCCAUAGAGGUCUGAAGGACUGCCUUCCCAUUGAAAUAAUUACUGCUGGGGUUGUGUUAUAUUCUUUAUGAUGUUAAAGUGCCUAGAGUCAGAGGAAAUCCUCAUUUUAGAUGAUUUUUGAAUGUCAAUGUAUAAAAUGUGCUAACCAUAUCAGUUUUAUUAUUAAUUUUUAAAGAAAAUGGUGAGUUGAGUGAGUGCCCAGAUUUGAGAAGGCGAGAAUAUAUUUAUUAUAAGGUUUAUUAUAAGUCCUGAAAAAUACAUGAGAGAAUAAGGGAAAAUAGAUUUUAUUUCUAAUUAAUGCCUAUUGCUCUAAGAAAAAAAAAAAAAAAAAAAAAAAAAAAAAGCCUGGGAGGGUUUUGACUUGUUCUGCAGUAUGAGCUAUUGCAAUAGCUCACUAAAGGAGCUGGACAAGUGCUAAUGUACCAUUACAGCAAUGGGAGAAAGAACAGACUGAAGGGUUUUCAACUCACUUAGGCUGUACUUGGUUGUUGCUGAGUCCUGCACAGUACUUUUCUUUGUAAGUAAUUUAAGGUAUUAAAAUAUUGCUUAUCUAUGUAAAAGUUACUGCUCAUGAAUCUUAGGGAUGGCUUAUUCAAUGGAACUUUAAGGAAUUUAGCUGUCUUUAGUAAAGAUGUAUGGAAUGAGCCAAUGUAGCACUUCUUUUAGAUAAAGUGUAACAACUAUGUCAUUCUGCAAGGGCAAAAAAACCCCAAAAAUCCUCAGUAGUUUGGAAAGAAUAAGGUUUGGUUCUUGUGGUUUUGGGGGAUUUUUGUUCUUGCUGCAAUCUCCUGAUUUCAAUUUAGCCUGGUUAUGCAUUUAUUUCUGCAGGAUAAUGCUCUAAGUUCUGUAUGCAAGAGAACCUUUUCUGUUGGUGGUGGUGGUUUAUAACACUUGGCCUGUAUUAUUUACUUUGUUAAACUGUGCACACGCAGUGCUUGGGUACGAUAGGGAGAAAUCACUGGGUACCUCAGGAAUCUGAUCCCUUGGCAGUCUGGAAAAAUUGAAAGAUGGAGGUCCAAAUAACAUUACCUUAGCAAUAGGACCAAGAGCACCAAAAUCAGAAAGCAAAGGCUUUGUUUGAAUGGUGUUUUGCUUCAGAGGUACAAGCCUGGAUUUUGCAGGGAAUGGAAUCAGCUGGCUUUGGUGUGUUGCUAUUUUAGCCCAUGGUGGCACAGCAGCACAUGUCCUCAUGUCACAAGAUGCAUUUCUCAUAAUACUGCUGCUUCAUUUAGAUGAGAGCCAAGUGUGCCCAUCAUUCCAGAGUCUGCCCAGCUGCUCGGGUUGUUUGUUUUUUUUUUUUCUUUUUUCUCUGCAUGUCUAUAUGGGCACAUAAUCUGGGAAAGGCACAGAAUUUUAGUGAAAGUGUGGUUGAUGAAGAUGCCAGGUGGGCAAUGCUGUGAUUUGUUACAGCAAACAAGAAUAGAAAAGUUGCAAAUAAGUAAUUAAAGGGACUGCAGUGAUGGAGUUUCCUCUCUAAAGGUGUUCUAGGAAUGCAGUUGUUAUAGUCCUUUCAUUCUCCUGUGAACUUAAUCCAUGGAUGUAACCCAGUCACAUGCCAUCUCAAACACAGUUCAGAUAAGGUGUCAUUAUUUAAGGAGUGUUUCUGUUGUGUUAAAAAUGAGAUUAUUCCAUUUCCAACAUUAUCUUAAAAUACAUUUAUCCCAGUGUCUUACAGUUCUUAAUUGGCAACACAUCAGAACAACUCUGUGAGGGAGUGGAACAUGUGAUUACCACCCCCUUAAUUUUACUACUGGGAAAAAGAAACUGAUUUGGUAACAGUUUCAUUAUACUUCCAUUUCUUCAAUUUUCCCAUGUUCCUGUAAUUUUAAAUUUGUAAUUCAGUGAUGUGCUGACUGUGUGGUGAGAAAAUGGAGAUUGUUUUUUUUUCUCCUGUGGUUUCUCAAAGAGACAAACAAAUCCUAAAGCAAUAAUAAACCCUUAGUCUUUUUGCCUCCUCAUCCCAGGAUUUGGAAUUGAAAAUAAUUAAAUUUGGGGAGGCAGGGGAGACAUUGGUUGCUUUGUAGGUGGGCAGAGUACAUUUGCUCUUUUUCAGAAACACACACAAAAAGAAAUUUAGAAAAAGAGGCGGAGGUUUAGGUUCCUUCUUUUUCUAAAGUUUGAACUAAUAAUACUUAGUUGUGGGUGUGAAACUCUCAUUUCUGAAGGUUGUUUCUUCACUCUGGCUACCAGGGAUUAAGUUGUAGAAUUGCUUGUUUUCACUCAGAAUAACUGACUGUGCUUCCAUUCCCAAGCUUUCCUUUAUUAUCCAUAACUUUUUUUCUAUGAAUGGGGCAAGAUGCUAACUUGUGCCUGCACAUGUUUGGGUGCCAUCACUGUGUUAUUUUAUAGCUGUUUUAUUACUAGCAAGACAGCAGAGGAGGGGUAGAAUUAAAAAACCCCAAACAACCAAAACUUGUGCACAGCCCUUCAUCAACCUGGAGCCCAGAAUUAGAGGGUUCCCUCUUCCACACAUCAUCUGGACUCUGGGUUAUGCCAUACUUUCAUCCUUUUUAUCCCUGGAAUUUCUGCAGAUCCCUCAGAUACUUGUCCUUUAAGAGAGGAGUAAGUUCUUUCAUGCUGACUCGCAUCAAUUGCAAUUCCUGCACAUUGGGCUGAAUUUUGUGUGCAGGAGUGGCAGUUACAUCCGUGUCUGAAAGCCAACUGUGCUGCAGGGGCAAACAGCUGCUGGGAGCUCCUGGGAGCAGGAAGAUUCUUGUUGGAGCACGCUGAGAGCAGCAGGGAUCCCUCUCCUGGCUCCCCAGGAGCAGAACCCGCUCACUGAUGGGACAGCUCAAAGGCCUUAUCCCCAGGCCAAGGAUGAAAAGAACCCUCUUGUUAGGGCAUCACAGAGUUGGGAGGGCACCUAGGAUGGUGAUCACAUCCUAGGAAUUAUAUCUUUGUUGAAAAAAGGAAAAAAAACCCUUCCUUUUCAAGAAACUAGAGCCAUUCUGAUUCCUUGAACUCAUCAAAGACAUGCACACCACACCACAAGAAUGGGAAGGAAUUCAUGGGAAUCAGCCUGAAGAGCAGGAGCAGAAAGUUCACCACGUGUCAUCCCAUGACAUGAAAAGGAGGAGCAUGUUCAAAUCUUCUCAUCAGGCUCAAAAGUUCAUGUGUAGGUAACUAGGCAAGGCUUAGAUGUGCCAAAUAAAUCCCUUGGGAAGAGGGAUUUGAUAUGCUGAGAGAAUCAGGAUGCAAAGUAUAAGAUGUACAGCUCAGGGGAAUUUGCCUUUGCGUUCACAGAUGUGUGUUUUAGUCAGUUCUGGACUCUGUUUCUUGGAAGAUCAUAAAUUGCCAAGAUUAUGCAAUGGAGCAGAUUCAUGUUCAAGGGUGUGUCAAGUUACUCAUCCCUUGAGUAGGAGGAGUGAAAGCUUCCCUACGGUCCUUUCUGACAACAUUGAUUCAUUUUCUAUUCAGAGGAGGAAAAGAAGCCACAAUUUGGGAAAUGUGUUUGUCAUUCACUGGAAAAGGCAGAUACCUUGACAGACAGACCAGGAGAUCUCCAGGCAGAUGAGAGAGUUCUUUGGAUUUGGCUGAUAACAAACCAAGUGUGGGGAUGGGUCUGAAAUUCCAUUCCACACCUCAGGCAGGACUAAAAGGGAGAUAUCUUGAAUUCAAUUCAAUACAAGAUCCACUGCUGAUAGUCAGUUGUGAUUACUUUUAUAAAUAAUUAGGUAGAUGCCACUUUUUACAGGAUAGGACAACCAAUUUUGAUAUAAAUGCCAAGUGGUCAGAGCUCUUGCCAGGGAAGGACAUUUCUAAGCCCUUUUAACAAUGUAAUAGCCAAUAUUAAUUCACUCUCAUUGUUUGUUGCAGGUGAAUUGAGAAUAUCCAACAAAAUCACCAAGCACUAUUUUCUUUCAAUCUGCUGGAAAUGCCAGCAAUCCACCUCCAUCAAUCUUCCAUCUUCAGAGUGUUAUGUACUCCCAGUCCUGGGGAGGUUCUCAGGAAAAGGCCAGGUGUGCUCAGCACACAUGGUGAUACUCAGAACAGCUUGCCUGCCUUACUGCUGCACCCUUUUUCAGAAUCACAGAAUAUCCUGACUUGGAAGGAACCCACAAGGAUCAUCAAAGUCCAGUUCUUGGCCCUGCUCAGGACACCCCACACAAGGAAAGGAAGAUGGCUGAGGAUGAGAGCUAGCACUUCUUGAAAUCCAGAAAAAAAACCUCAAAAUCCAAUUACAGGAAAAGCUUCUUUGUUUAAUGAAUCACUUUGUUUUGUUGUUUGUUUUUUUAAAAGUGUAAGUUAUGUGUAAUUUCCUGUAUGUAUUCAGUUACUUUGUAGAGUAAAAUCAAAUUUUAAAGCACUCGUAUGCUCAUUUUUAAUUGUAACCCGACCUGACCUAAGAGAAAAAUAAUCAUGUUAAAAAAAGAAGCGUUAUACACCAUUUCUAAUAGUUUCAUUAAAAUUUCUAAUAGUUUCAUUAAAAUAUAAGUAGGAAUCUGAAUAAAUGCAUAUAAGAUCCAGACUUUUACUGGAAUAAGUAAAGGCCACAGGUGCCUUCCUGGUUAGUCACAGCUAAUUAAUUCUGAUGGCCUCUAAACCUAAUCUUCCUUUAAAAAUUUAAAUUACUGCGGAGAACCAUUGCAAAAAGAAACUUAAAAUAGCAGAGAGAUAUUUUAAAUUAAGAUUUCCUGAUUGUUGAACUUUGUCAAAUUCAUCACUUCAAUCCAUUCCUGAAAUGUACAGUUAAUCACCUCCUCUAAAUACAAAGCACAGGAGGUGAUUUCCCUUCUGCAGCUACUUCUCUGGAUUCAGCCUUUUCAUUACAUUGUAAUUACAACGGCUCUUCAAACUUGUCAUGAAAAUAAAGGAUUAGUAGAACCAAAAAUGAAAGUUUAAUAGCACAGACUAAACAUCAGCUAUGAGCAACUUCAGCUCUGGCUUCUUACCCCAAUGCUAUUUAAUUUUUGGACUUGUCUGAGGUGAAUAAAGAGCACAGAGCAAAA